rnacentral:rRNA from 1 species
UCGGAGGUGACGCUUGUGGAACGAGCGGCGGACGGGUGAGUAACACGUGGGCAACCUGCCUGUAAGACUGGGAUAACCCCGGGAAACCGGGGCUAAUACCGGAUAAUACUUUUCAUCACCUGAUGGAAAGUUGAAAGGUGGCUUUUAGCUACCACUUACAGAUGGGCCCGCGGCGCAUUAGCUAGUUGGUGAGGUAACGGCUCACCAAGGCAACGAUGCGUAGCCGACCUGAGAGGGUGAUCGGCCACACUGGGACUGAGACACGGCCCAGACUCCUACGGGAGGCAGCAGUAGGGAAUCUUCCGCAAUGGACGAAAGUCUGACGGAGCAACGCCGCGUGAGUGAUGAAGGUUUUCGGAUCGUAAAGCUCUGUUGUUAGGGAAGAACAAGUGCCGUUCGAAUAGGGCGGCACCUUGACGGUACCUAACCAGAAAGCCCCGGCUAACUACGUGCCAGCAGCCGCGGUAAUACGUAGGGGGCAAGCGUUGUCCGGAAUUAUUGGGCGUAAAGCGCGCGCAGGCGGUCCUUUAAGUCUGAUGUGAAAGCCCACGGCUCAACCGUGGAGGGUCAUUGGAAACUGGAGGACUUGAGUACAGAAGAGGAGAGUGGAAUUCCACGUGUAGCGGUGAAAUGCGUAGAGAUGUGGAGGAACACCAGUGGCGAAGGCGACUCUCUGGUCUGUAACUGACGCUGAGGCGCGAAAGCGUGGGGAGCGAACAGGAUUAGAUACCCUGGUAGUCCACGCCGUAAACGAUGAGUGCUAGGUGUUAGGGGGUUUCCGCCCCUUAGUGCUGAAGUUAACGCAUUAAGCACUCCGCCUGGGGAGUACGGCCGCAAGGCUGAAACUCAAAAGAAUUGACGGGGGCCCGCACAAGCGGUGGAGCAUGUGGUUUAAUUCGACGCAACGCGAAGAACCUUACCAGGUCUUGACAUCCUCUGCAAUCGGUAGAGAUACCGAGUUCCCUUCGGGGACAGAGUGACAGGUGGU